rnacentral:lncRNA from 1 species
GGUGUUCUAAAGAAUUUGUUUAUAUGUUUGCAGAUUAAAUAAUAAAAUAAACACUUUUCGUGUUAUUUUAAAUUAAAAUUUUCUUCUGUUUCAACUUCUGUACAGUUAUUCAAUCCACUACGUAAGAAUUCAGUGAAUACAUUAUUCCAUUCACUUAACAUUUUCCUUCAAUUCUAAGAGGAAACAUUUUUGCAAAUUGUUCUUCAAGAUCUUCUUCCGUAUAUUUGAUAUGAGGGAGCGAUGUAAAUGAGUGGAUAAAACUGGUG